rnacentral:rRNA from 1 species
GACGAACGCUGGCGGCGUGCCUAAUACAUGCAAGUCGAGCGGACUUAAAAAGCUUGCUUUUUAAGUUAGCGGCGGACGGGUGAGUAACACGUGGGCAACCUGCCUGUAAGACUGGGAUAACUUCGGGAAACCGGAGCUAAUACCGGAUAAUCCUUUUCUACUCAUGUAGAAAAGCUGACAGACGGUUUACGCUGUCACUUACAGAUGGGCCCGCGGCGCAUUAGCUAGUUGGUGAGGUAACGGCUCACCAAGGCGACGAUGCUUAGCCGACCUGAGAGGGUGAUCGGCCACACUGGGACUGAGACACGGCCCAGACUCCUACGGGAGGCAGCAGUAGGGAAUCUUCCGCAAGGGACGAAAGUCUGACGGAGCAACGCCGCGUGAGUGAUGAAGGUUUUCGGAUCGUAAAACUCUGUUGUUAGGGAAGAACAAGUACGAGAGUAACUGCUCGUACCUUGACGGUACCUAACCAGAAAGCCACGGCUAACUACGUG